CUAAGUCUUAUUUCCUAUUAGUAUAUGAUACUUAGUAAACAAUAGUUUAUGGCACAUCAAAAAGGAAAAAAAAAAGUGAGACUGUUACACAUGGUGGUUGAGACAUAGUUAACCUUAGAAAGGUGGAUGUCAUGCUUAUAAACUUAUAAGCCUUCAACCACCAAAAAGCUACAUUCUUUUAUUUUUCCCCCCUAUAAAAUAAGAGCUUCACUUGAAUACAUUUCCCAUAAAAAUCUAACAAUCUCAUCUUAUACACUUAUAAAAAAAUAAUAAAAUUAGCGAUAGCUAAACAACAAAAUCCGUUACUAAUCCUAUUUAAUUAGUGACGGAUUAGCAACAAUUAUCAAUAUAGUUACCAGCAAUUUAACGACGAAGUUCGUAGCUAAUUCCGGGAGAUAUAUUCCAUUAUGCCUCUUCUCAAUAAUCAUAUCGUGUCUCUUUUCUUGAGUGCCAAUAAAUCAGAUGGAUUAAGAAGAAAAAGAAGGAAAAAACCCUAUCGAAGUUUGCUGGAUACAAUUUGAUAAAUCACCUGGAACAUUCAUUUGAGCAAGAAAGUUAGAGUUAGUAAGACGAUGAAGGUACGAGGAUGAUGUUGUUUUAACCAACCUCAACCUCGGACCUUCAUCUAUAACGUCAAUCAUUACGCACGCAAAACGUUCAUCACCGCUAUUUCACAUAAUAUUUCACUCAAAGAAAAUUUUGUGCAUGGCCCAAAGACAACAUGAAGUUUGUUAAUUAGUUGAGGCCUAUACACAUAACACAACAAAAAAUGCCUUUAAGUGGCAUUAGAUUCAAGAUUUAUAAUUUUGUUGAUUCAAUAUUAAAGAUUAUCAACAUUAUUUUCAUUAUAUUAUUAUAGUUAUGAAUUCGUAUAUGUUAUUUAUUGUAAUAACAAAGACCUUAUGACACUCAUAUUCAGAUUAAUUUAGGUUAUGGGUGUAAAUAAUACAUGAAACAAAAUCCUUUUGAACUUUAUAUUCUAAUUGACAUUUUUUCAUCAAUAAUUCUUAUUUUGUCUUAA